rnacentral:rRNA from 1 species
UUGGAGGGCAAGUCUGGUGCCAGCAGCCGCGGUAAUUCCAGCUCCAAUAGCGUAUAUUAAAGUUGUUGCAGUUAAAAAGCUCGUAGUUGAAUUUCGGGAUCAAUACGUCGGUCAUGCCUCUGGUAUGAACUGGGGUUAUUGGUUUCUCCUUUCUGAGGAGCCAUGAUGCCAUUAAUUUGGUGUUGUGGGGAAUCAGGACUGUUACUUUGAAAAAAUUAGAGUGUUUAAAGCAGGCACGCGCUUGAAUACAUUAGCAUGGAAUAAUGAAAUAGGACGUUCGAUUCUAUUUUGUUGGUUUCUAGGAUCAACGUAAUGAUUAAUAGGGAUAGUUGGGGGCAUUAGUAUUCAAUUGUCAGAGGUGAAAUUCUUGGAUUUAUUGAAGACUAACUACUGCGAAAGCAUUUGCCAAGGAUGUUUUCAUUAAUCAAGAACGAAAGUUAGGGGAUCGAAGACGAUCAGAUACCGUCGUAGUCUUAACCAUAAACUAUGCCGACUAGGGAUCGGAUGAUGUUAAUAUAUGAAUGACUCAUUCGCGCCUUACGGAAAC